GGCUCUGUGGUUGAAUGUCAACCCAUGAACCAUGAGGUCACUGGUUCGAUUCCAGUCAGGGCAU
rnacentral:tRNA from 1 species